UGCCGGUUCUCGUUAGAUCACCGAAGCCAAGCAUCAUUGGGCGUGGUUAGUACUUGGGUGGGUGACCACCUGGGAACACCGCGUGCCGU